AGCUGUGACAGACCACCGCCCGAGAUCCUCCUAGCUCUGCUGGGCCAAGCCUGGGCUGCAGCUCAGCGAGGAGAGAGUUAGCGGGCACCUGCCCCGCGCUCCCCCAUUGGCCACAGCUCACCUGCCCCAAGGGGCCCGGUUCUUACUGUCCGAGGAGGAGCACAGAGCCCAUCGCCACGCAGCUCUCCCGCAGCAGCUCGCAGCGUCCCAAUGCAGCGGAGCCCACAACGCAGCGACUAUCUCCCACCGGACCUCGGGGCUUAAGCUCAAAGUGAUUUCCUUUCCUCCGGCUCCAAUAGUAGACGACAAGGCCAAAAUGAGGUCUCUGGGUCACUAUAUUCUAAAUUGGAGCUGGUCUUGCUGUCUGCGUGGUUCUCCAGGGAACAGGCCAGUGGUCCCUGGGUGGCACUGGCAACCUAGCCUCUUGGACAUGCGACCUGCGACCUGUGACUUGCGACCGCGGGGCAGUGUCCCAAUCUGUUCAAGUUAGUUUCCAUAGCAGGCGUUAAGCCCGGAGUACAAGAGGGCAGUUGACCAUUAGAACCUGUACUCGGUAGUCUAUCCACCCCAAUCUUCCAGGGUGCUGUGGCUCCUUUAGGGCUCUUGAUUUGGGGCUCCGGACCCAGUCAGUUCUUGCUCGCAUGUGGAGGGAAGGAUGGGGGAGGGAGGCGAAGAAAAUUCUGCUUUCUAGUCGCUGCCCUGGGGAGUCCAACUGGCCACCGCACAACCCAAGUGCUCACCUCCUAGCUGGGCCUCCAGAACCCCAAAGGGCAGUGGGGUCUACAUCUCCCUACAACUAUGGGGACUCCAGGCCAGGUCUUGCAGCGGCCCGCCGGAAUGCCAGGAGCCUUGGUCCGGAGAAGCGCUCGGGGCGCCCUCACAGCUACAAAGCGGGUUAAAGUCUAUUUUCCACUCGACUGCUCCGAAAAGCCCCCGCAAGCCUGUACCAUUCCGGCCCCCUUGGGCGAGGUGGGGAGGAGGCGGCGAGAGGGGACUGAAAAGGGACCGCACCUUGCAGCCCUUCCCGUCCUGGAUGACCCAGGGCCAGACCCUUGGAUUUCCUACUCUAUCAGAUUCAAGCUAUGCACCCUGUCUCUCCCUGCCUUCUCCUAAUCUCUGCUGCUUCCUAUGAUGCUUUCUCGACCCCCGAACCCGGUACCUGUCUCAGACUGUCCCUUUUCACCUCCCGCUUCCUCUGUCCACAUAAGGACCAAUCUUCCCCUCUUUUCCUUUGCCAUAUCCUGGGUGGCGGCGCACGCACGCGCGGGGCGGUGAGUGUGUGUGUAAAGUGGCAGAGGUGAGGAUCUGGAAGAUGGUCUCCUUGGAGCAGGGUCUGAGCAGGAAUGCAAGUUACACUGAAUAAAAUUGUCUAGAUUUAA